UUUACUUGCUUACUCUCUAAUUUCGGGAUUAGUAUUCGUGCUAAACUUUUUAUAGGAAUGGAGGCCCUUGUGUCCUCCGGGCUUCAAGAUUUGAGUGAUUUUGUUGUUCAUCCUCUUGUUCCCUGCGUUUUUCUUUUUCUGCGAUUUUCGGUGGUAUUUACUUGCGAUUUUCGAUUCGUGAGUUUUGCUCCACCUUUUCGCAAACUUCUUCAUGGCUCUAUUAGCCCUUGACGUCGUGCAUCUAUGGCUCGAGGUUCACUUCGAUUCGUUGAGUAUUGAGGGAGUAUUUUUCAUUUGAAGUUUCAGAUUUCGUUCUUGCCUUCCCCCUUCUUUGUUCUUCUGUUUGUGCGCAGGAGAUUUUUGGGGUUGCGGUGCGCGGACCUGCAGCACGACGUGCGGCGACGCGCUUGCGCGGCGGCGCGUGGCUAACGGCCGGGGGCAGCCAGCCACGGCCGGCGCAGCUGCCGCGGCGGCGGCCUGCAGCACGUGGCGCUCGCGGGCGGCCAGCUCCAACCAGCAAGCAAGCGCCAGCGCAAGGGGGACAAGCUGCUGGGCCCGCGGCCCAAGGCACUGCAGGCCGGCAUGCUGCCAGCCCAGCGCCAGGCGGGGCGCAGCAGGCCUGGCGGGCCAGCGUGAGCAGGCCGCUCCAGCAGGCCACCGAGCCAAGCAGGCCAUGCACAACAGCAUGCAAGCUUGUUACUUCGAGUUUUUGCAUGCCUAAUAGUAAGAUCUCUAGUUCUCUUGUGAAUCUUUCUGGGAACGUUUGUCCGGCUUUUUGGUGAGUCAUAGCUUUUGAGUUACUAUGGAUAUUUGCUUCCGAUUGCAUUGAGCUUUUCCUAACCGUUUCUAAGGUGAGCUUGUCACGAGUUGGCUUGUGUCACCUUCGUGGUUAGGAGAGAGCCAUGUCGGAUUGAUUUUGGGACAUAGGCCUUGUUCUCUUGGAGAAUUUUUAAAAGGCUCCCAUUCACCUCCCUCUGGUCGCCUAUUCCAGUCCCACAGAAAUGUGGCACAUGGAGUUUGGUAUUUCAGAUGACUAUUUUCUGGAGGUAAGAGUUUGAUUUCCUCCCAAAAUUUGCACAGUUUCAUUCUGAGCAGCAUUAGCUUUUCCUUUAGAGGAUUAGCAAAACUGCUAGAAUAAGCUGCAACGAAGACAUAAACAAGUAGUUGCAAUUAAAGUUUGACAUCAGGGAAGUGAGUCUGAACUUUUAGAACGGUUUCUGAACCGAACCGAUCGGAUUGUAUUAACAAUCUUGCAGCAAUACUAUCGAUGGUCUCAGAUAAGCAUCCAACAACCUGAUGCAAGGCCAUUUACUGCAAUCAUCUAGCGGCAAUACUAUACUGACAUACACAUCACUUCAACCUGAUGAAUUAUUUCAACAUUGUUUCAAAAGCUUCUCUGACAUUAUCUGUGCAAACUUCACUUACAAUCUGUACCAUUCCCACUACUGACUAUCUGCAUAACCCUGAUGUCCUGACGGAUUCCUUGUUUUAACUUCAUCCAGAGAAACUCUGUAUGGUGCUGUACCAUGUCAUGCUGACCAACAAAACCAAAAUGUGAGCAACAAAGAUGCCAGAACCGACGAUGCCAUCUGAGGAAGAUAUGCACAAAUGAACGUACCAUGAUAUCUUUCACUCUUACAUACAUUUAUCUGUCGCUUAUGACAUGUAUCAUGGUAACUCAGUACUGAAACUUUUAUUCUUAAGAAACUUAACGAGUUCAGUAUUGAAACUCA